rnacentral:rRNA from 1 species
GACUGCCGGGGUCAACUCGGAGGAAGGUGAGGACGACGUCAAAUCAUCAUGCCCCUUAUGUCUUGGGCUUCACGCAUGCUACAAUGGCCGGUACAAUGGGUUGCGAUACUGUGAGGUGGAGCUAAUCCCAAAAAGCCGGUCUCAGUUCGGAUUGGGGUCUGCAACUCGACCCCAUGAAGUCGGAGUCGCUAGUAAUCGCAGAUCAGCAACGCUGCGGUGAAUACGUUCCCGGGCCUUGUACACACCGCCCGUCAAGUCACGAAAGUUGGUAACACCCGAAGCCGGUGGCCUAACCCUUGUGGGGGGAGCCGUCGAAGGUGGGACCAGCGAUUGGGACUAAGUCGUAACAAGGUAGCCGUACCGGAAGGUGCGGCUGGAUCACCUCCUUUCUAAGGAG